rnacentral:rRNA from 1 species
UACGUAGGGUGCAAGCGUUGUCCGGAAUUAUUGGGCGUAAAGAGCUCGUAGGCGGUUUGUUGCGUCGGCUGUGAAAUCCCGAGGCUCAACCUCGGGUCUGCAGUCGAUACGAGCAAACUAGAGUGUUGCAGGGGAGACUGGAAUUCCUGGUGUAGCGGUGAAUGCGCAGAUAUCAGGAGGAACACCGGUGGCGAAGGCGGGGUCUCUGGGCAACAACUGACGCUGGAGGAGCGAAAGCGUGGGGAGCGAUCCGG